UACGUAGGGGGCAAGCGUUGUCCGGAUUUAUUGGGCGUAAAGAGCGUGUAGGCGGCUGGGUAGGUCCGUUGUGAAAACUCGAGGCUCAACCUCGAGACGCCGGUGGAAACCCUCCAGCUAGAGUCCGGAAGAGGAGAGUGGAAUUCCCGGUGUAGCGGUGAAAUGCGCAGAUAUCGGGAGGAACACCAAUGGCGAAGGCAGCUCGCUGGGACGGUACUGACGCUGAGACGCGAAAGCGUGGGGAGCAAACAGG
rnacentral:rRNA from 1 species